GAGCCACCGCAUCUAUCCCUGAGGAUCUUAAUAGAAUUUGAUUCACAGAAGCCUAUUCUGUGACUUGGCUGGGAUCUGUAUUUUGUUCCUCAAAAUUAGCAAGUUAAAUUCUGAAAUAAGUCAUACUGGAAAUGUUUUUACAGUUUACUUUGUUGAGGCCAUUUUCUUCUGUUAUUCUCGUGCCUGAGAUGGUUUAUAGAGUGGUGUUAGCAGCAUGGAUUCUGGAAUGUUCUAGGUCUCAAAGCAUGCUCUUAACAUUCCACUUUAUUCCUGCAGUGUCUCUGGAGUAGUUGUCUGCUCCCCGCCGGAGGCAGCUUCUGAAAUCGUGAUGGAUGCUCUCCGAGCAGCUAUGGGCCGGGCUGGCUGAGGUGAUGUCUGCACCCGUGCCCAGGUGUCUCAGGGAGAAUGGGCUUCGGGGAAUGGGCUUGCCUGCUUCGUUUCCUGACUCCUCUCCUAGGCGCUUUGAUCCGGCUUUCCAGUUCUUGCACAAGCAAGUUUGUGUCAGCCAUGCCCUGCAGAGGAUCCACUGGAUCACCAACAUCAGCAGCCUGUUCCCAGCGGCCUCUCCGGCUUCCCUAAAGAGGGCAGAUAUGGCCGCCUUAAAAGAUGCAGACACUUGGGAUCAGCAUGAAGUUUCCCUGUGAGGCUGUGGUCAGCGUGGACAUCAGCCAGCACUGCACAGACAGCUGCGACCAGGACAUCAGCCAGCACUGCACAGACAGCUGCGGCCAGGACGUCAGCCAGCACUGCACAGACAGCUGCGGCCAGGACGUCAGCCAGCACUGCACAGACAGCUGCGACCAGAGACUGGAGGUGACUCCUGCCCUUUUCCACCCUUCGCCAGUCCACUGUGAAAAGCUGGGUUGAUUGUGUGGCUUAGAUAGAGGUCAUCAGCCGGGUUGAUUGUGUGGGUUAGAUAGAGGUCAUCAGCCGGGUUGAUUGUGUGGGUUAGAUAGAGAUCAUCAGCCGGGUUGAUUGUACGAGUUAGAUAGAGGUCAUCAGUUGGGUUGAUUCCGCAGAUUAGAUAGAGAUCAUCAGCUGGGUUGAUUGUACGGGUUAGAUAGAGGUCAUUAGCUGGGUGCGUGGGUCCCAAAGCACGCUGCAGAUGGAGAAUCAGAAUCCCUUGGGCAUCACCGGGCGGGGCAUGUCCCUGUCCCUCGGCUCCCAGACCCCGGCUAGCUGCUACCAGGACUCAUAUCGAGAGCUCUUCAGACACUUUGUCAGAACGCUUAAAGGUGGGUGCCAUUCUCAGGAGGAGCCUGGGAUGUCCUGAUGCUCAAUGGGUAGAUGCCUUCCAGGCUGCAGUCAGUGCAGAUGAUAUGCCAAUUUCAGGUCGAAAAUUGCAUUCCAGAUACCGGGUUCAGAUUUGAAAUUGUCCAUCUCAGUGAUCAUUUAUGUUGCGUGUACUUGAGGGAGAUUCUGAGAGAUGCUCCUUUGGGGUUCUGUGCAUGUACCAUGUUGCCUGACACGUCCUAAGAAGUCUUGUUAAACUC